GGCAUUGGAAUUUGGAGGCUUGCAUCCACAUCUGCUUGUUGGCAAACUCAUGUCGUGUACCGCCAUGAGUUUGACGGGGGAUGUUGGAAUUUAUUAGGUUUAUUUAGGAAAUUAAUUAGAGAUUUGUUUUGAUUUUGUAGUAGGGUAUUUUUGGCAUUUACGCAUUAGGGUUUCUUAGGUUUAUUGCUCUAUAAAUAGAGCUUGUAAUUUAGUUUGAGGAACAAGUUAGUCAUAAUGUAGUCUCUAGGGUUUUUGUAGCCAUCUUGGCAUUCUCAGUUUGUUCAAUAAAAUUCCUAUUAUUUUGUAACCUUGUUUGUUCCGCACUCUGAUAUUCAACUUGGUAUCAGAGUCAGGUUCGAUCCUUAGGGUUCAAUCCGUUCUUGUUGGUAUCAAUUUGUUUUGUCGCAUUUUGUUUUUGGGUUUACUUUUGGUCUCGUUUAGGCUUCGCUUCCGCUUUGCUCUGUGUCCCUUGUUCUUGGUCACUCUGUUUGGUCUCGUUUAGGCUUUCCCUUCUGCAGUUUGACUUUUCACUAGAGUUGUUCUGUCGGCUGCAAUCCCUUUAUUUUGCAAAACUUGUUUGCUGCAUCAUUUGGUUUUGCGAUCUGGAGAAGACCCCAGGUCAUAAGAAAAGGAAAAAAGUAUGGCUGGUUUGAGGCUUAGGCCCACACGGGCAAAGAAAAAAUAUGGUUUUGAAUAUGGUUUUUUGUUUGUUUGUUCGGAAGUUGGAAUUUGCACUGGCAUUGGAAUCUUGCACUUGCAUCGGUGAAAUUUCGUAUUGAAAUUGGCAUCGGUAUUGGCAUCGGCAUUGGAAUCGGCAUCGGCAUCGGCAUUGGAAUUUGGAGGCUUGCAUCCACAUCUGCUUGUUGGCAAACUCAUGUCGUGUACCGCCAUGAGUUUGACGGGGGGUGUUGGAAUUUAUUAGGUUUAUUUAGGAAAUUAAUUAGAGAUUUGUUUUGAUUUUGUAGUAGGGUAUUUUUGGCAUUUACGCAUUAGGGUUUCUUAGGUUUAUUGCUCUAUAAAUAGAGCUUGUAAUUUAGUUUGAGGAACAAGUUAGUCAUAAUGUAGUCUCUAGGGUUUUUGUAGCCGUCUUGACAUUCUCAGUUUGUUCAAUAAAAUUCCUAUUAUUUUGUAACCUUAUUUGUUCCGCACUCUGAUAUUCAACUUUUCGUCCUAGACAUGAUCGGCAUCUUGAGCUGUGUCCUUAAGCUUGUUCACCCACGCUUCGACUGCCGUACCCUGGCCUUGGAGUGCCUGCUCGGCUGCACCAAGUAAGAAUUCUCGCACUGGAAGUAAUGAUCGACGAAGCUU
rnacentral:lncRNA from 1 species